CUCUAUAUAUACAAUGUUGCGCAAUUCUCCUUGUAUUCGUAUUAUUUCUGAAAAAGGAUAUAUAAACUGAGAACGUUGGCAGGAUAACAUACACCCCAUCAACUUUACUAAAUCAAGGUUCCCGAUUUCGUCGAAUCAACAACAUAAGACAUAAUGGACCCCAUGGACAGUCAACAUCGUAGUGGAAUUCCUAGCUUUGAAAAACAGCAAAAGCGAACCCAGAAACAUAGUGAGCACGUGGUGAAUACCAGCACGGGCCACUCAGACCAUGAAGACCACAUCGAGGGGCAGACCGAAGUCCCCAAGCACGAAGGACAGGAGAGCACUCAAGAAUAAAGUAAUUCUCAAGAAGAUGUCUUUUCUAUAAAAUACAAUAAACUAUAGAUUAUUUGAUGAUUAUGUGUGUCCUUCAAACCUUUAGUUUUACACUAAUGUUUGAUUUAUGAGUCAGGGUUAAAUGUUAUAAUUAGUUACUGUUGCACUUCACACCUGAAUUUCGUACAAAAAUUGUAUCUUUACCAUUUUAUGAUUUCUGGCGUUUAGAAAUAAAGUAUUAUAUUUGCACAGAAACAAAACAUCUGUGUUA